UACGUAGGGCGCAAGCGUUGUCCGGAAUUAUUGGGCGUAAAGAGCUCGUAGGCGGUCUGUCACGUCUGCCGUGAAAACCCGAGGCUUAACCUCGUGGCUUGCGGUGGAUACGGGCAGACUAGAGGUAGGUAGGGGAGAACGGAAUUCCCGGUGUAGCGGUGAAAUGCGCAGAUAUCGGGAGGAACACCGGUGGCGAAGGCGGUUCUCUGGGCCUUACCUGACGCUGAGGAGCGAAAGCAUGGGGAACGAACAGG
rnacentral:rRNA from 1 species